rnacentral:rRNA from 1 species
UACGUAGGGUGCAAGCGUUAAUCGGAAUUACUGGGCGUAAAGCGUGCGCAGGCGGUGAUGUAAGACAGAUGUGAAAUCCCCGGGCUCAACCUGGGAACUGCAUUUGUGACUGCAUCGCUGGAGUACGGCAGAGGGGGAUGGAAUUCCGCGUGUAGCAGUGAAAUGCGUAGAUAUGCGGAGGAACACCGAUGGCGAAGGCAGCCUCCUGGGCUAGUACUGACGCUCAUGCACGAAAGCGUGGGGAGCAAACAGG